GCAGGGUCUGAUCUCUGCACCCCGGGCCCCCGCGCAGACCCGCGGACGAGCGCUGGGUGGGGAUUUCAACCUGCUCCAGCUGAUGUGCGCGGGGUUUGCACCCCGGGGAGGCGAGGGAGAGAGUCCGGCCACGUCCUGCCAGGCCCCGCCCGCGCCCCCGCUGCCCUCCAGCGCGGAACCCAGGUCCCAGGAGACGCGAGGCGCCCAAGGCCCCGGGAUUCCGAGCCAGUCAACCCCGGGCCGCGACGCUCUGGGAACCACACCCGUCCAGGAAGGCACCUUGGCCAAAGCCGGCUCCUUCGCAGAUGACCCGGGCCAGGGUCCGAGCGCCAGGCUGUGACCCCGCGAGGCUGUUCCACGCUGGCCGCGAGAGACGGAGGGCAGGAGGGGCCCGAAUAGGACAGAGAGAGAGAGAGAGAGAGACAGAAGGAGGCGCACGCGCUCCCCAGGGACCGGGACGCGGUGGUGGGCGGGACCUCGCGGGGGUGGGGGGUGGUCGCAGGACCCAGAAGGCUCAGGACCUUUACGGAUAGGGAGGACCCCGCAGGGGGGAGCGGGGGAGCCCCACGCCCGGCGUCCUCCGGGUGCGAGGGUCUCGGGGAGUCCGAGCCCGGGCCCACGGCCUCUGUCCCGCGGCCACUACCUGCUGGGGGUCCCGGGCCUGGGCCACGCCGGGCUGCCCUCGGGGACUUGCUGCGGCCGUUGAGGGGUCUCCGCGCGCCGCGCAGACUCGCCUCCCAACCCGAGGGCCCGGGCGGCCGCCGCCCAGAGCGUCCAGCGGCAGCGUCUUGCUCUCGAAGGCGUCCUCCACGCAGCGGAACACGCAGCCAAGCUUGGGCCGGGCCAGAGGCCUCGCGGGCUCCUGAGGCUGCCGCGCGGUCACGGCAGGAGCGGGCGACAGAAUCCGGUCUCGGAGCCUCCUGUAGCGAGGUCUGCGCGGCAGGUGCACUGGGCGGACCUGGAGGCCGCGCCCUCCCCCCCCGCCUCCUGCCGCCCGGCAGCGCUGCGCGGAGCUGGCUCUGUCCACGUAGCGGGUGCUGAACGCCCCAUUCUGGCCCCUGGGUGCUCGCUUAGUCCCGGCCACGCGUGGCUGCUCGCCCUCGGGACACACUGGGCGCUGGGAAGGCCGGGCGGGGAGCGCGCACCGGAGAAACCGCUGUGGGAAUCCCGGCCACAUUUCCAGGCCCCUUGGGCCGUCCCACGCCAGACAAGAAAGCCCUGACUCCGAAACCCUGGGCGAGUGUGGAGGGCGCGCGGGGGUGGGGUGUACCCGCCCACGCAAACUGCUGCUGAUCUCCCUUAAAGCCGAGUUAGAGGCUUGGGGCGAGACAGGAGUGACGGGCGAUGCUGUCACUCCAUCUGUCAUUCUACCCAGCCUGCAGCAGCUGAAUUCGAACCCAGAGACUUCAGGCCUUUGCGUUGUUACCGCAGUCCGCAUUUCAAAGCCAGAGUUUGGCCACUGAGUCACCAUGACCUCGAGUACUGGCGGGGCCCGAGCCAGCAGAGCUAGGUCCAGCAGCUUCCCACCCCUUCGUCCUCCUCUGGGCUCCCCCUCCCCUAAAUGAUUAAUGCAAUGUCUGUUACUCACCUGUGUGGGACCGUCCACGGCAAAUAUCACCAACUGUUCUUAUGCACGUGCAGAAGUUCCGUCCCUUUCCUAACUGUCUGAUCUCUUCCAUGGUUCACAUUUGACCAACAGCCACAGGAGGGAGCCUCCCAGGUGGUCGACCGGAGCCAGGUGCUGCCAGGCACCCGACUGCAGAGCUUGCCCUCCAGGUGAUCUCGCAGUAUCGGUGUUCACAAGCCCUGUAAGGCACUCGGGGUAUCCUGAAGGCUACAGAUUCUGCAAGGGCAGAGACUUUAAGGAACAGCCAUAGUCCUUCUCCAGCUCAAAAUCUGGACCAUGGGCACAAGGUUGUCCCGGAACCAUCGAUCUCUAGAAGGUACAGGAGGAAGGGGACCUGCCAGUCCAGCCCUCAUAUUUUACAGAGGGAAAAGGUCGGGGCCCCCAGCCCCACGGGCACGAAGGCACCAGAACCUCGCUAAAAGCUGCAGGGCAGAACCCUCAUCAAUACCACCAUGGGUACCACGUGCAGACGUAGUCGUACAUAUGGAUCAGGAAACAGCAUUCUGAUUGAUGUCAAAACAGAGCCGGAGGAACAGGCCCCUGCCGUCUGUGUGUGCUGGAAAUUUCCACUGGGAUCUCAACUGUUUGGAAACAUAACUCAGUUGGCAAGGAAGACAAGAACCUUCCUGGGGUCCGGAACUCUGCCUGCUUCAGAAUCAACAGAUGAUGAAUGCCACUGGAAGGCUCGGGACCUACAGCCUCAGUUUCCAAAAAUGUGCAUGAGACAAGCAACCCCAGGGUUCUCACACAGGGUGAGCCGCUUGGGAGGGGGUGAGACCCUGCAGUCUGGAUCCUUGCUCUUCCCCAACACCGCCCCACAAAUACACAGAUUCCCAGCUGAUAGGACAUGGAGUGAGGGCCAAGCACAGGACCUUUCCCCAUAUGCUCUUUUGUCUGAGAAACUUUAGCCAAACAUUUUCAAACCAAACAGAAACAAAUGGCAGCCACUAACUCUGCUCACAGUCAAGGUAUUUUUUUCUUGAAGCUCUGAUUUGGGGAAAAUAUGAAACAGACCUUACCCAGACACAGGCUGUGCCUCCUCCUCCCUCUUCCUCCUCUACCCCCUUCAUGGGGUCUCUCUCAACUCUACAGAGGGGACCAGUGCUGUUAUCAACUCCCUGUCUGCCCAGGGCCGCCUCUGAGGUCAUCCUCUCCCCAGCCACCACGGCGGAGCCCCAUGUGGCUCACACGGAUGCUGGAAUGGUCCUCCCAUCCUGGGACAGUCCUCAGGCACGUGGUGCUCUGCUCUGGGUCACCCUCCUACUGAUUUUGGCUCUACAGCUCCCUAAUAAAUAAUAAAGGCAGAAGCCACUUUGAUGGUGCAGGUGGCAGGUGGGACAGUGAAGUGGGUGCACAGAAGCGGGUGCACAGGAGCAGGUUCACACACAACCAAAUGCACAGUGUGCACAGACACACACACUACCCAGGGCACAAGAGCAGGUGCACACAUACACGCACACUACCCAGGGCACAGGAGCAGGUGCACACACACAACCAAAUGCACAGUGUGCACACACACGCACUACCCAGGGCACAAGAGCAGGUGCACACACACGCACACUACCCAGGGCACAGGAGCAGGUGCGCACGCACAACCAAAUGCACAGUGUGCACACACACGCACACUACCCAGGACACAGGAGCAGGUGCACACACACCACCAAAUGCAGUGUGCACACACACACACUACCCAGGGCACAAGAGCAGAUGCACACACACCACGGCCAAAUGCACAGUGUGGACACACACACGCACACUACCCAGGACACAGGAGCAAGUGUAUACACACCAUGGCCAAAUGCACAGUGUGCACAGACAUGCACCCUACCCAGGGCACAGGAGCAGGUGCGCACACACGACCAAAUGCACAGUGUGCACACACACACACACUACCCAGGGCACAGGAGCAGGUGUAUACACACCACGACCAAAUGCACAGUGUGCACACACACAUGCACACUACCCAGGGCACAGGAGCAAGUGUAUACACACCAUGACCAAAUGCACAGGCACACUCCCCCCACACACUGGCAUGUGUGCACACACGUGCGCACACUUUCUGCCUGUUCUCCAUGGGUUCCUGGUUUCAUUUUGUAUCUGGUGGCGGCAGCUGUUCUCACAGGCCUCCACAGCGAUGCCCAGCUACCCUUUCUGAAAUCGGCUUCUCUAAUAAUGACAUCCCCUAUUAACGGCCCCAUGGCCAGGCUAGUAAAAGGAUCCAUUAUUGCUUUAACCAAGAUGGUUGCAUUAUAGAUUGCAAGACAGCUGGCCCGCAGGCUGUAAGCUGCUGGCUGAAAAGAAUAAAUUAGACAAUAGAGCAAUAAAGCGGGGAGGGGGACUCAUGGUUUCAAGUCAGUCGUUCAGUUUCUGAGAUUUUGUGCAAAUCACCCAGUAACAUUUGAGAAACACCUUCGCCCUUGGUAAAAACAGAAAGAUUCUAAACAAAGAGCAAAGAGAAAUAGCUCCAAAGCCAAUAGGAACCAGAAAAGAGGUUGGCAUCAUCUCCCAAAGUCGAAGAUUCCAACUCCUAAUGUGACCCAUGAGGAGUCGCGGCACCAGCGCAUCCGGAGACUCCACAGGAAUGUUCAAGAAGCAGCACUCGUAACAAGCAGAAGCCUGGAAAUAACCAAAUGUCCACCAGAGGGGAGGUAAAGCCCCAGCACGAGGUCACAGAUUGGAGGGUGCACAUGGCUGAAUCCCUGCAGAGUGAUUCCAAGCACAAACACCCAAAAAAAUGCCCGUUAACAAAGAUUUCAAACACAAUUAAAGAGUCUGCCUUUUGGAAA
rnacentral:lncRNA from 1 species